GACAAGCGGUGGAGCAUGUGGUUAAUUCGAAGCAACGCGAAGAACCUUACCAGGCCUUGACAUGCAGAGAACUUCCAGAGAUGGAUUGGUGCCUUCGGGAACUCUGACACAGGUGCUGCAUGGCUGUCGUCAGCUCGUGUCGUGAGAUGUUGGGUUAAGUCCCGUAACGAGCGCAACCCUUGUCCUUAGUUACCAGCACGUUAUGGUGGGCACUCUAAGGAGACUGCCGGUGACAAACCGGAGGAAGGCGGGGAUGACGUCAAGUCAUCAUGGCCCUUACGGCCUGGGCUACACACGUGCUACAAUGGUCGGUACAAAGGGUUGCCAAGCCGCGAGGUGGAGCUAAUCCCAUAAAACCGAUCGUAGUCCGGAUCGCAGUCUGCAACUCGACUGCGUGAAGUCGGAAUCGCUAGUAAUCGUGAAUCAGAAUGUCACGGUGAAUACGUUCCCGGGCCUU
rnacentral:rRNA from 1 species